UUGCUUGUGUGUUCUUCCAUCAGUCUUCAUCCUUCAGCUCCAUAACUAUGGUGGCCGAUCCAGAGAUGUGUGAAUAAAAAAGAGGGUGCUCUGCUCGGGGCCACAGGCUGUGCGGCUGCAUGGGAGGAAUGAGGACAGCUUUUCCUGGCUAGUCACAUAUUCAUUAUAUGGAAGGUUAUAGGGUUAAAUCCCUGUUGUAUACCUUGAAUGCACUUGAUAAAUGCCAAGUGCAUCUCCAGAUUUUAAUCAAACCUGCCUGGUUUACAUUUACCGCUAGUACAGAAGGCUAAAUGUGUUGGUUUGUUCUUGAACGUCUUCUGUAUUUGAAAUUGAUUGCUUUGCGUUACUCCCUGCAGAACUGCUAAAGCCCAGACUAUAAAGACUUUGAAUUAAAACAACAAACACUGACAGCCUGUGUGUGAUGUGCAGAUGGCUCGAGCUCUCGGGCUGCCAGAAACAGUUGGCGCCUGUGCGUUCUUGAUCGAAUAUAAAGGAUACUUCCCUUGUAUUCCAAGCACCGUCGUUUCAGUUCGAUACGUGCUUGACGGAGGCAUUUAAGCAUUUCAUGUUUGUGCAGCCGCGCUAUCUCUGAGAAUGUUUCCAUGGUAACAAGUCUCAUGGUUCUGCAUGAAGAGUAGUCGGAGAGGAGGGGUGUUUUGUGCUUUAAAGAUUGAAUGUUGAAUGCUCCGGUGAAUUCAACAGAGGAGACUCCAUUAAUGUCUGAGAUGGUAGCCGCCUUCUCCAGUCGCACAGAGCCACGACUUUGUUUGUAAAGCAAAAUUAAUUAUUCACCCUAAUCAGCAUUUGUCAUUUUGGGUUCCAUGUGCGCGACCUAAAAUAUGCAGCCUGAGGGUCAUCGAGUUCAUUCGAGUCUGUAUUCAAGCUCCAUUCUGACAGACUUGAGUAGGUUUAUUCGCUGAAUCAGAAUCAAGCAGAGAUCUUUAGACUUUCAGUUUGAAAGGAGCAAAACUGGGAUCAUGCCACCAGUCUGUCAACAAGCUCUCAAUUAGGCCAUCUCCGUGUUUGCGCCAUGGGCUUUUGGCAUCCCACUCGUGUAAAAGCAAUGUCUUGUCUUGGUUUUCGCUUACCAUUGUCAUAUCAAUGUUUAAGUAAAGUAAAUGGCAUAAGGUGUACAUAAAAUUAGAGCAUCACAUGACAGAAAUCUGCAAUUUGUUUUUGUUAUUGCACUGUUUUUAGCUAUUUAGGGAGAAAAUUUGUGGACACAUUUCAGUGCAUUAAAACAGAACUGAGAGUAGUAUGCUUUUGUAGAUAAAGUAUUAUCAAAUAAGUCUAAUAUUGAAUAAAAUAACAGAUUUGUAGAAUGUUAUGAUUUAUGAACAUUCUAAUUCUUUGAAAGUCAUUGGAACUUUAUUGUGCACAUGACCAAGUAGUGAGAUUUGUUUACUUAUUUUCAAGGGGGCAUUUGUAUUGUCUUAUGGUUCGAUCUUUGUAGAUUUGAACCAGUGACCUUACAGUUAGCAGCCAUUGUAACCUAUACCUCCAACCACCAUUGUAUUGUGGAGAACUCAGGGAACCAAUAAUUUCUUUACAUGAAGAUUUACUAAUUAAUUGUUUAAGUUUUGCUGCCUCUUAUUUGUCUUACUAAACAUCAGAUCAGCUUCUUAGCCUCUCUGCCUCCACCACUAAAAAAAAUGUUGGAAUUUGAGGUAAAAUUAAUGUAACUUAAAUUUGUAAUGUUGGGUUAAUGGCAAGACAAAACACAGUGUUUCUCUUGUAGUUUAGCUAAAAAAUCCAUUGGUUUAAAACAUCAGACCUUGAUAAGCUUCUGGCAGUCUGUUUUUGUUUAUGACUCAGUGUAAUUUAGUUUCCUAACUCACUGCUCUGAGUCAUGCUCUGCGAACACGUUAAGCUCCUCCCAGAAAAACCCCUCAAUUCUUUCAUUUAUGAUGAGAACAGGAAUAUGACACCCUCCGAGCUAAAGAAGAUUCUUUAAUGUUUUCCUGGAGAGGUUCCUUCACCCUGAAGUUGUGUGCUGGACCCGUGAGAAGCACAGGUGUGUCCUCCAGCCUGCCUGAAGAAAGGAAAUUUGAUCCAAUGCCACGCUUCCCAGUGAGAGAUUGAGCCCAUGCCCAGAGUGUUUGUGUGUAAAGACUCUUGCAUGUUGGAAUGUCAGGAAAACAAAAUGAUGGACUGACUUUAAUUACUCCACACAUCUGGAGCACUAAAGGUUAUUGACUGGUGAGCUCAGUGCAGGUGUUGGAGGAACUCAUUAAAAAUGGAAGCUGUGAAAGUAGGCCAGCGGUUUACUGAUGUAGAUGGGUAAAGAGAAAGGAAAGCCAUUCCAAGUUGUCCACAGCCUAUCCCAUUUUCCCUCGGUCCGCUUCCUGCAUGAAGAGGAUGGUGUCUGCAUUUCCCCAAUUACAACUAAUCUAGCAAAAGCUCCCAUUUUGUCACCUCUCCUGCCAGCAUCUUUGGUUUGAUGCCACAGCUCAAGCACACUCGGCCUGCCUGUAUCAGCCCAUUCCCAUUGCCGUCUAGUCUGACAUCUGGAUCUGACAGGUCUCUGAUAGGUUGUUAUGAUUCAUAUGAACCAUAUGUUGUCAUUGCUGGUCUGUCGUCUUUUUGUUCUCUUUUAACAAUUCCCACAAAGAGUUGUUUUUUUUUUUAACUAAAGUGUUAUACCUACACAAAAUGUCCAAUUUGUGUCAUUUAUACUUAAUUUAUGCACUUAGCUGAUGUUUUUUGUAAAUGCUUUGUUCAGAUUGAGCCAAGCUUUGAUUUGGUUUGCAGAUAUGAAAGUCUGCAUGUCAUUUUGCAGUUGAUGAAUUUGAAUACAUUUGUUCUGUGUAGACAAUAUCUGAUAGAUCUAAAUUGGUUGCCGUAGUAAUGUCUAAGUUUCAGCAUGAUGCCAAGAGGCUUUCUUCCACAACAGUCAAGAGUAGAUGUCAGCAUGGAACAAGAGGAUAGAAAUAUGGAAAAUGUUACCUAUUUUCGUGUCUAUGACAUUGCACUGUGAUGCUGAACUACUUGACAUAAGUCUCAGUUGCAUUAUGCUAUUUAAAAAUUUUGUGCAUAUACUGCAUUUAAAACCAUUAACUUU